AUUCCAGCUCCAAUAGCGUAUAUUAAAGUUGUUGCAGUUAAAACGCUCGUAGUCGGAUUUCGGGGCCUGCCUGCCGGUCUGCCGAUGGGUAUGCACUGGCAGGCGCGUCCUUCCUUCCGGAGACUGUCCCUACUCUUAACUGAGCGGGGUCGGGAGACGGAUCGUUUACUUUGAAAAAAUCAGAGUGUUUCAAGCAGGCAGCUCGCUCUUGCAUGGAUUAGCAUGGGAUAAUGAAAUAGGACUUUGGUGCUAUUUUGUUGGUUUCGAACACCGAAGUAAUGAUUAACAGGGACAGUCAGGGGCACUCGUAUUCCGCCGAGAGAGGUGAAAUUCUCAGACCAGCGGAAGACGAACUACUGCGAAAGCAUUUGCCAGGGAUGUUUUCAUUG
rnacentral:rRNA from 1 species